UACGUAGGGUGCGAGCGUAAUCGGAAUUACUGGGCGUAAAGCGUGCGCAGGCGGUUUUGUAAGCCAGAUGUGAAAUCCCCGGGCUUAACCUGGGAAUGGCAUUUGGGACUGCAAGGCUGGAGUGUGGCAGAGGAGACUGGAAUUCCCGGUGUAGCAGUGAAAUGCGUAGAUAUCGGGAGGAAUACCGAUGGCGAAGGCAGGUCUCUGGGCUGACACUGACGCUCAUGCACGAAAGCGUGGGGAGCAAACAGG
rnacentral:rRNA from 1 species